ACACUGCGAAUCGCAAGACGAUAUGGCUUGGAGACUCAAUGGUUGCAUCUGUAUUGGAAUCGACAUCUUAGGGUUCACAAUAUCAAUAAUCCUUUCUCAAUAUGUAUUGUGUUUAAGAGUGUAUAACGUUGAUCCGCCAUUGCAUCUUUUGCUUGAAGCAACUUCAGUGAUGGUGGAAAUAAGGUGUGAUUCUGCUGGUUCCUUUUCCUCAGCAAUUUGAGCAAUGAUAUAGUAUCUUUACUGCCUUGUAACUUAUUGAUCUACGAAAUUCCCAGAGUAAGUUUCUUUUAUGAUGGUUACAUGAAUUGUGAUAAUGCAAGUGAGUGGACCUUGUACAUUUGAUGUGAGCCAUCAAUUAUUUUCUCUUA